rnacentral:tRNA from 1 species
CCGACCUUAGCUCAGUUGGUAGAGCGGAGGACUGUAGUCGGUUAAUCCAGCAGCACAUCCUUAGGUCGUUGGUUCGAAUCCGGCAGGUCGGA